CCUAGGGGCGCUGCAGUCGGGAAUAUUGGACAAUGGGGGAAACCCUGAUCCAGCCAUGCCGCGUGUGUGAAGAAGGCCCUAGGGUUGUAAAGCACUUUUAGUAGUGAGGAAGGCUCAGUAGUUAAUACCUACUGGGAUUGACGUUAGCUACAGAAAAAGCACCGGCUAAUUUCGUGCCAGCAGCCGCGGUAAUACGAAAGGUGCAAGCGUUAAUCGGAAUUACUGGGCGUAAAGCGCGCGUAGGCGGCUUGGUAAGUUGGAUGUGAAAGCCCCGGGCUCAACCUGGGAACUGCAUCCAAAACUGCCUAGCUAGAGUAUGGUAGAGGAUGGCGGAAUUUCCUGUGUAGCGGUGAAAUGCGUAGAUAUAGGAAGGAACAUCAGUGGCGAAGGCGGCCAUCUGGACCAAUACUGACGCUGAGGUGCGAAAGCGUGGGGAGCAAACAGGAUUAGAUACCCGCGUAGUC
rnacentral:rRNA from 1 species